rnacentral:misc_RNA from 1 species
UUAAAUAAAAAUCGGUGUUGUUGCUGCCUUUCGUGGUGACGCGUCGGAAUUGGGUCGUCUUAUCUUCGUCUAAGUGACUUAAAAUUUUAUAUGAUUUUCGAACGUAUUUAAAUUGCUUACGUACGUUUGAGACAUCGAAUAUUUUAUUAGGUUCGGUCAUCCCUAUGACUCGCGCCUAUAAUUUUUUCAUU